GAUGAACGCUGGCGGCGUGCCUAAUACAUGCAAGUCGAGCGAACAGAUGAGGAGCUUGCUCCUCUGACGUUAGCGGCGGACGGGUGAGUAACACGUGGAUAACCUACCUAUACGACUGGGAUAACUUCGGGAAACCGGAGCUACUACCGGAUAAUAUAUUGAACCGCAUGGUUCCAUAGUGAAAGACGGUUUUGCUGUCACUUAUAGAUUGAUCCGCGUCGCAUUAGCUAGUUGGUAAGGUAACGGCUUACCAACGCAACGAUGCGUAGCCGACCUGAGAGGGUGAUCGGCCACACUGGAACUGAGACACGGUCCAGACUCCUACGGGAGGCAGCAGUAGGGAAUCUUCCGCAAUGGGCGAAAGCCUGACGGAGCAACGCCGCGUGAGUGAUGAAGGUCUUCGGAUCGUAAAACGCUGUUAGUAGGGAAGAACAAAUGUGUAAGUAACUAUGCACGUCUUGACGGUACCUAAACAGAAAGCCACGGCUAACUACGUG
rnacentral:rRNA from 1 species